UCAGUCCCUCCAAGCAAAUUGGCUCCCCAAAUUCAACAACGAAAUCAGCAGAAUCCUCAGAAAACAAUGGUCGUUUCAAGAGUUCGUGAUCGGAAAACCCCUCGGCAAUGGCAAAUUCGCCCGCAUCUAUCUCGCUGGCUCGCGAAGUUAAGAGCAACUACAUAGUGGCGUUGAAGGUGGUAUUCAAGGAGUAGAUAGAGACGUAUAGGCUCCACAACCAGCUGAGGAGAGAGAUGGAGAUCCAUAUCACUCUCCGCCAUCUUACCGAGAAACAGGCCGCCACCGGGCGCAACUAAUAAGCCCAAGAGUUGGAUGAUGAGUUCUCAGGAGAUUGAACUUUCUGCGCUUUUAUAAGAGCUUUAUGACCAAAGAAACAUUCGUUGAUCCAGGCCGUUUAUUUUACAGACAUUAGUUUGCUUUCUCCUUUUUCUGCAUAUUCUUAGUUGAAUGACUUAUAGCAAGUAGCAAGUGAAGUGCAACUUGCCGUGGACAAUGUGCCAGCAACAAGAUAAGAAAUCAAAUAGUAUAAACCAGGCCUUCAUCCACAGCCCAUCGCUAACCUUGUAGCAACUUUAGAAGUGGCAAAUAUUGGAUCUUUUAUGGUGUUUCAGGUGAGGAGAAUAUACAUUCCUCUACCAGAUGCCAAGAUGCUGCCCACGUGAGUAGAUCUCUAUUGAACACAAACUCAUUCUCCUUGCCUGGGUCGUCUGAAAAUUGCUGACUUUGAUUUGGGUGUUCUGUACAAUCCAGAGGCAAGAGACGAACCAUGUGUGGAACACUGGAUUAGCACCAGAAAUGGUGAACAAACCCCAUGACUAUGCAGUUUAUAAUUGGACUUCAGAUGUUCUUUCUAAUGAGUUCUUGCAUGGUGACCCUCCAUUUGAGGCUGAGAGCCAAGCCAAUGCAUUCAGAAGGUGAGGAACAGAUUUAUUUUGUUCUUGGGAAUUCAUGAGGUGUUUAGAAUUUAGAUCCUCAUCGCAGUAGGAUAAAAGGAGGAUACUAGUUAUAAGGUGGACCUAAGUUUUCAUCCCACCCCUCACAUUUCUGCAGAAGCUAAAAAUCUCAUUAGCCGCGUCUCUCUCUUUAUUUGUGUCUCAUCAUUUUGAACGUUAGCUUUCUCACAAGUAUGAUUGCAAUGAGAGGAUUCACUGCUCAAAAC